GACGAACGCUGGCGGUGCGCUUAACACAUGCAAGUCGAACGGCAAGGCCUGCUUUCCCUUGUGGGUUGCGGGUACUCGAGUGGCGAACGGGUGAGUACCACGUGAGUGAUCUGCUCCCAACUUGGGUAUAAGCCUGGGAAACUGGGUCUACUUCCCGAUAGGACUGCAGGGUGGUGCCUGUGGUGGAAACCGAUUUUCUAGUGGUUGGGGAUGUGCUCGAGGCCUAUCAGCUUGUUGGUGGGGUAAUGGCCUACCAAGGCGGGGACGGGGAGCCUGCCUGAGAUGAUGGACAGCGACAUUGAGACUGGGAUACGGCCCAUACUCCUGCGAGAAGCGGCAGAGGGGGGUAUUGCACAAUGAGCGGAAGCCUGAUACAGCGAGGCCGCGAGGGAGAUGACGGGCUUCGGAAGGGAAACUCCUGUCAAAGGAGAGGAAGCGACCUGGUUGGAAGGGUGGUGACGGUAGUGGAAGAAGAAGCACCGGCUAACUACGUG
rnacentral:rRNA from 1 species